rnacentral:rRNA from 1 species
UCUCCGUAGGUGACCUGCGGAGGGAUCAUUACACAAUAUGAAAGCGGGCUGGCAUCCUUCGGGGUUACAGCCUUGCUGAAUUAUUCACCCGUGUCUUUUGCGUACUUCUUGUUUCCUUGGUGGGUUCGCCCACCAUAGGACAAACCAUAAACCUUUUGUAAUUGCAAUCAGCGUCAGUAAAAAAAUUAAUAAUUACAACUUUUAACAACGGAUCUCUUGGUUCUGGCAUCGAUGAAGAACGCAGCGAAAUGCGAUAAGUAGUGUGAAUUGCAGAAUUCAGUGAAUCAUCGAAUCUUUGAACGCACAUUGCGCCCUUUGGUAUUCCAAAGGGCAUGCCUGUUCGAGCGUCAUUUGUACCCUCAAGCUUUGCUUGGUGUUGGGCGUCUUGUCUCCAGUUCGCUGGAGACUCGCCUUAAAGUAAUUGGCAGCCGGCCUACUGGUUUCGGAGCGCAGCACAAGUCGCGCUCUCUUCCAGCCAAGGUCAGCAUCCACAAAGCCUUUUUUCAACUUUUGACCUCGGAUCAGGUAGGGAUACCCGCUGAACUUAAGCAUAUC